UUUUUUUUUUUUUUUUUUUGACACUGAAUCUCACUCUGUCCAUCAGGCUGGAGUGCAGGGGCAAUCUUGGCUCACUGCAACCUCCACCUCCCGGGUUCAAGCAAUUCACCUGCCUCAGCCUCCCGAGUAGUUGGGAUUACAGGCGUGUGCCACCAUACCCAGUUAAUUUUUGUAUUUUUAGUAGAGACGGUUUCACCAUGUUGGCCAGGCUGGUCUCAAACUUCUGACCUCAGGUGAUCCACCCACCUCAGCCUCCCAAAGUAGAGGUGUGAGCCACCACGCCCGGGCCAGAUAUUCUGCUAAUUCUAUUAUACCAACUAAUGUAUGUUUCCUUUGUUAUUAUUUCCCUCUUUUAAAAUCAGUUUUCAUAUAAACACAAAGUUAACGUGAUGGCUUUUACUAACACAUACUGUAUGGGGGACAGCCAGUGGAGUCAGAAGACUUGGGUUCUGAUCCAACUGCGCUGCUCACAGGCAGUUGCUGAGCAAGUUGCUCAAUCUGUCUCUCUCACCCGUAUCAUCCAGAAAAUAAAGGGAUUGGAAAGAAAGUUCUGAAGUCGAUGUGGCACCUAUCAGAAUCUCAGUGUUUUCUUACUACUAUGUUCCUCAACAUUGAAACAGCACAUUUUAUGUUUUCGAACACCGGGGAGAGAACAGCACAGUGUGCAACAGAAGAAGCUAAUGGUUUUAAGUACAUUAGUAACAGCCGGACCUGGAGGAAAGGUGGGAAGAGUGUCAUUAUGGGAAAUGAGGUGUGCACUCUUCAUACUGCCUCUUCAAGGAUCCUGGGAGCAGACACAACUCAGCAAGGCUUGGUGCUUUUGCUAGACAGCCUCUAGCUAGCUUAAACCCCACAUCUAUUGCAUUUCCUGCUUCUAAUUAGUACAUACAAGCUAAUGUAUAAAAUGUGAAAAAGCAUUAAGAAAAUGAAAAUUACCUAUUUUAUCACCUAGUGAUGACUACUAACAGCCUAUAAUCUUCAUUUCUUUGUUACAUAUACAAUUAUUUUUCAAAACACAGUAUGUAUAGUUUUAUGUCCUUUUUUUAUGUAGCAUAAUUUUUUCUCAUUGCCAUUUUUUCAUGAUUGUUAGUGGUUGCAUAUUUUUCCAUCAAAAGAUGUAGUAUAACUUUACCACUCUUUAGAGUCUUCCCAAUUUUUCAUUAGGGAAAAUGAACAUCCUUAUAUAAUAGUUUUUUUUGCUGAAUCAUUUCCCUAUGCUAGAUUGCUAGUAUAUUACCAAUUCAGAAGUUAUAAACUUUGUAAAGGAUUUAUUACCAAUGUUUCCAGAAAGAUUUCACCAAUAUACCCUCCAAUAGACUGUAAGAGUGCUUCCUCAUUAAAUCCUUACUGGUAUUAAGUUUAAAUAAGAAGAAUCACAAAAUUAGUAGGUGAAAUGACCCAAUCACUUAAAAUUUUUCUUUCUUAGUGGUUGGGUUGGACCUCUUUCAAGUAGUUACUGACAUCUGCAUUUUUUUUUCUGAGUUGAUCAAUAUUAUUUGCCCACUGUUUGCAUUUUUUCUUCCUAUUGAUUUGUAAGAGUUAUUUACAUAAAAGUUUUUUUUUUUUUUUUUUCUUUUUGCUUUAGAAGUGAAAUCAAGGCUUAAUUUAUCUGGUUAAGUUUUGUAAUUUUGUUUUUUAAAGACACGGUCUUGUUCUGUCACCCAGGCUGGAGCGCAGUGGCACGAUCAUAGCUCACUGCAGUCUCCAAUUCCUGGGCUCAAGUAAUCUUCCUGCUUUAGCUUUCCUAAUGGGCUAGGACUGCAGGUGUGUGUCACCAGGCCACACUUUUAUAAUUUUUUGUAAAACUGGGAUCUAUGUUGUGCAGGCUGCUCUUGUACUCCUG
ensembl:lncRNA